UCACCACAGAACACCCGUAAGUAGUGGGUAUUCGUGCAUUCUGGAUCAACCUUCGGUUGAUCCAGAAUACACGAAUACGACAUGGCUCCUCGCCUAAAAAAAAAAGUGAUGGGGUCAUCUAAAUCGAUUGCACUCAUUCGUUUUGUGCUAACUCUAACGGUUCGCUACUUAGGUUUCUAAAUUUGCAAAAAUUCGUUGCAAAAGCCAAAGGCGUAAACAAAAGUGUAACAAAAAAGUUAGGAUUAGGAAAUUACAAAUCUUGUCUUUUUAAUAAAAAUAUUCAACAUCAUAGUAUGUAUAGGUUUAGAUCAAUUAAACACACAAUAUUUACUCAGGAAAUCAAUAAAACUUUUUUGUCAUACCAAGAUAGCAAGCGCUACAUAUUACCAAACCAAGUCGAUACAUUGGCGUGGGGUCAUUACAAAUUAAGAAAAGUAUAAUAGGUACAUAGUUUAUUUUUAUUUGUUUUCUUAUAUUUGUGGUUUUAUUGUAAAUAACUUUUAAAUUUUUAAAACAUGUUUAUCUUUCUUUUUGUAUUCUAAUGUAAUAAAAUCAAUCCUUUACUUACUUGAAUUUUUGUUGUCAUAAGUGUAAUAUUUUCAGAAUGUAUAUAUUUUUAAAUUGUUUUUAGAUGUAAUAAAUUUGUUUUCUUA